UACGUAGGGGGCAAGCGUUGUCCGGAUUUAUUGGGCGUAAAGAGCGUGUAGGCGGCCAGGUAGGUCCGUUGUGAAAACUCGAGGCUCAACCUCGAGACGUCGAUGGAAACCAUCUGGCUAGAGUCCGGAAGAGGAGAGUGGAAUUCCUGGUGUAGCGGUGAAAUGCGCAGAUAUCAGGAAGAACACCCGUGGCGAAGGCGGCUCUCUGGGACGGUACUGACGCUGAGACGCGAAAGCGUGGGGAGCAAACAGG
rnacentral:rRNA from 1 species